UCCCGGAUAUUAAAUGUUUGUCCAUCUCUAUUUUUAGCAAGUAGCAUCCAAAAUUAUAAUUUAAAACUGAAUUUAUGCGCGGCAUUACUGGUGUUGGCAAAAAAUUACGCAGCUAAUGCAGCGCGCUUAAAACAACCGUGCGUACUUUUGCCAAUAUUUAGGUGAAAUCAAUUAAAUUAACACUGGAGGUCAACAUAUGUAACUAAUACAAAUGGACAUCCGUAAAACCAAUCUACAAGGGCUUUGGCCAUGUGCGUCUUGAUCUGACCGACCGUUGUUUGAUGAACGAACCCAACCUUCUGUCCAACUUUGGUGCCAUUGAAGUAUCUAGCAGGGACCGUAUUGAGCGUGGAACCCAAAUCGAGGCGAUCGUCAGGCUCUUCGACACCAACGAAAACCUCUUCCUCUUAGACAGAAGCAGCUUAAGUGUAAGUAAGUUAAUUUUCCUUUAUCGGCUGAUAAUAAGUAAUAUUUUUGGCAUUCUAAGCCAUAUGGUCGGGCGAUGUUACGGCCCACAGACGGGACCAGCACGAUCGUAGUAAAGUACUAUUUAAACAAUCCGGUAAUCGGAAAGGCUGAAAUAGUGACCCACAACGCGGUGGACUUACACGUAGUUUCCCUUAAGGGGAUGGAGAUUCGCACUCUCUGAUCCGCAUUCGUUGCGGGGCCAUAAUGCCCGACACCUUGUGGGGUCCUUUUGAUUUAUCUCCCAUGGUAUUAGGUACCUUGCAAAACAUAAAAAUCUUCUGGAAAGUCAGCCAACCUCAGGCUGUUGAAAUCUUAGACAUAUUCACGGCUACAGAGGUUGAGUACCAAAGUGAGGAUUUAAUAUUGAGGCGAGUACGAGCCCUAAAUCCCGGAAAGGUAAUAAAGUUGCCACCAACCAGUUUAAAGCUAAUUGCACUUCAUCUGGUUGCGACAAAUAUAAGGGAUUCCACUUAGCAGCUCCGUGCCGCAAGGUUCAGCUUAAAUCCAUUAAAAACGGUGCGCUCUUUAAGCUGGACGGUCAAAGCAAUGGUAUAGUAAACGUGACUCCAGAUGGGCGUUUGCAAACAAAACACUUUCUAGGCCGUAAUCUUAUAAUUGUAAGGUUCUAAGGCCUAAAUCAGAUAAUUAUUGAUUAAAAUUUCGUAUAUAUCUCUAAGGCGAAAACAGCACACCAAACACUACCUAUCGGUAUUGAAGUGCAGAGUGUGCAAUACAUUUUAGUGACACUGUGUCAAACCUAAAAUUUAGAAAGUCGGAAAACAAAAUACCGGUGGAAUGUACUUUGUGCUCAAAGUAUCCCUUCACGAAUAAACGAAUUCUCCCAUAAAAUUGAGCACGUUAAUGACCUGCGUUAUGAAUUCGCCACCAAAGAUUUAGUUUAUGCUCAAAUAAAUAAUAAUAGAACAAUAUUGAGGUGAGGUAUUUAUACUCUUUAGCAUAAAAGGUAAAAGGAAUGCAAAAAAAUAAUAUUUCAAAACUUAUUAUGGGCAUUAUUUCUAGAAAUUAAGGUAAGGUAGUGUUCUCACCGCCAGGUGAGAAUUAGCCCUGGGACCAUUGUUUUACCACCCAAUAAUUGUCACUAGCCGGGAAAAACUAAGUUCCAAGUUCACUCAAACUAAAAUAUAAUAAUACAAAAUAAAUCCGAAGAUUAAUCAUUUAUUUACUAUAGAUUUUAACGCAGAUUAGAGCAUGUGGAAAAAAGUUUUCAAAUUGUGAAAUUUUGAUAUCCCAUAGGAAGUGACUUUACUGUCAAUAAGAAAACAUGUAUUAGUUGGUUCUAAAUACAGUCGAGUACCGCGACUAUAAGAUACCCGUUACAGUUUUAUACAAUUUUAAAAUAUUCAUUUUGGUAGUGGGAAUUCACAAAGCGCCACCUUUUGUCAAAAAAACUUUAUAAAUAGCGAAAUAAUGUUCCGAUUUGAAAAAUUAUGUUAAAUCAAUAGAGAUUGACCAAAAUAGUUUAUACAAUGUCAAACGCAGAUAUAAAUUAUAAUAAUGUGGAUGCCACAGUUUUUCUCGUUAUAGUGGGUGUGGCUAGAUGGGGAAAAAAGCAUUGCGGCAUCAUAAAAAACAGCAUGCCUAAUCCCACAUUUCUAUCACUUAUAGUUUCCAAGAUAUCAGCUUUUCUAUAAAAAGCGAAAACCGUCGUUCGAGCUUGGUGGGCGUGGAUAUUGGUACCACCAUUAGAUGUGCUGACAUCUCAAGUGUAUACUUAAUCAAAAUUUUCUAGCUCCAAUACUUUCUGAGAUUUCAGCAACUUUAGUUUUCCGUGACAUGUGAGGGAUAGAGCGGGCGUGUAAGGAUGCUGAACUAAACUUGCGCUGUGUCAGCGCUCAAGAAUCUUCAUGCUAAAUCUCAACGUUUUAUCUCUAAUAGUUCCUGAGAUCUCAGCGUUCAUACAGACAGGCGGACAGACAGACUGACAGACAGACGUGUGGACAGACGGGCGGACGGAUUCACGGACAUGGUUUAAUCGACUCGACUAUACUUUAUAGGGUUGGAAACGCUUCCUUCUACCUGUUACAUACUUUUCAACGAAUCUAAUAUACCCUUUUACUCUACGAGUGACGAGUAUAAAAAUUGUUUUUCAGUCUCCUGUGAACUAAAUUUUUUUUUUGUUAUUUUAUGCAUUCACAUUAAAUAGUCCAGCAAAGUCUCACUCGCUUUCCUUUCAGCUGAACUUGUUGCGUGAGACCAAGAAUGUUAUUGUCAUCAGGUUGUGGAACUAAGCAGGAAUCAAGUAUUUUUGGGCCUAUAUUAAGUUGUCAGUGGUUAGUUCAAAUAACUUCUUCCUUACCAAGGCAUUGCCCGAGUAUUAAACCAUCGGAACGAUAAGAUUGUGAUAACUUAUGGCGACGAGACCACGCUUGGCGGAUUUGUUAGGUACGAUUUGGAAGUUCUGGAGGCGAAUGUGGUUAAUAUAUAAUUUUAAUCAUUUGUUUAACUUUAAAAAGCGGUUUUGCAGAUUGUGUUUGUCAAGUCAUUGGACAUAUUCAGUGGAUCAGAGUAUCGAGGACAGUUCGUUCUCCGUAACCACUUGCAGUCCAAAAAAUAUUAUAACUUUGUAAAGAGUAAAAAGGUAUAUUAGAUUCAUUGAAAAGUAUGUACCAGGCAGAGGGAAGCGUUUCCAACCGUAUAAAGUAUAUAUAUUCUUGAUCAGGAUUAAUAGCCGAGACGAUUAAGCCCUGUCCGAUUGUUCGUUCGUCUGUCCAUAAGAACGCUGAGAUCUCAGAAACUAUAAGAGAUACAAAGCAGACAUAUGUUUGAGGUCCCUACGCAGCAAGUUUAUUUCAGAAUCCACGCCCACUAUAACGCCGGAAAACUGGCGUCCAUAAUAUUAUAUUGUUUGUCAUUGUUUGACUCUCUAUUGAUUUACGAAAGAUUUUUCAAAUCUGAACAAUAUUUAGUUAUAUAAUAUAUGAAGAAAUGUUGGAUAUAAGUCCUCACAUGCACAGUUCCGUCAUCAUCAGUUAGUAAACAUGCUUAUUUGACACCUUUUGCGGUGAAUAUUUUACAAUUGUGUUAACCAGUAACGGGUAUGUUAUAGUCGCGGCACUCGACUAUAACGUUUCUUCUUGUUUUUUGUUGUUACCUAUC